rnacentral:rRNA from 1 species
AGUGAACGCUGGCGGUAGGCCUAACACAUGCAAGUCGAACGGCAGCACAGUAAGAGCUUGCUCUUACGGGUGGCGAGUGGCGGACGGGUGAGGAAUACAUCGGAAUCUACUUUUUCGUGGGGGAUAACGUAGGGAAACUUACGCUAAUACCGCAUACGACCUACGGGUGAAAGCAGGGGAUCUUCGGACCUUGCGCGAUUGAAUGAGCCGAUGUCGGAUUAGCUAGUUGGCGGGGUAAAGGCCCACCAAGGCGACGAUCCGUAGCUGGUCGGAGAGGAGGAUCAGCCACACUGGGACUGAGACACGGUCCAGACUCCUACGAGAGGCAGCAGUGGGGAAUAUUGGACAAUGGGAGCAAGCCUGGUCCAGCCAUACCGCGUGGGUGAAGAAGGCCUUCGGGUUGUAAAGCCCUUUUGUUGGGAAAGAAAAGCAGCAGGUUAAUACCCCGCUGUUCUGACGGUACCCAAAGAAUAAGCACCGGCUAACUUCGUG